rnacentral:misc_RNA from 1 species
GUUAUGAUAUUUUGUUUAGGAAACUUGGUGAUUAGAAGCCGUAUGAGCUCAUUGUUAGCCUAUAAAUGUUAGGGUUAAUUUUAAUUUCUUGUUUUAUUUUUAAUUUUUAUUUUGAGUUCUGUGAGAGUAUAUAUUUAUGAGAUAACGGAGUGAGUGAAAUAAUUUCAAGCUUGUGAUUGACUGAGACGGGGAAAUAUAAUAACCCGAAAUACUAGAAUUAGUACCACUGGAACUCUGGAAGUAGAAAGGUUGAAAUGUGUACUGGAUGAGUCAAAGCAUAAAAGUAACGUGGUGAAAAUAGCAGUAGGUACAACUAGAUUGGCCUAUGCAGGAGAAGCCAGCCAAAUAGGAUGAAAAAUGCUUGAUUAGCAAAAAAAAGGAGGCAUAAGAGAAAAAUCAGUUGCCAGAAACUACAAAAUAGCAUUCAAAACAAGCUUUUGCUGUUAAGAAAAAUCUAGAAUUGCUUCCCAAGGAAAAGAUGAAGCAUGAAAAGCAAGCAAUUAUAGGUUAAGCAAGCCGUUGAAAGUAAUAUAUAUGAUGAGUGAGAGAUUGACUUUGUUACUCUAAAUAAGUUGAAAUGAACUUUCUAAGUGUUGUCAUUGCUAUUUUGUGCGUUGAAUGUGGAAUGGCACGAAGUAAAAUUAGUUUAUGCUAUUCAAUGUAUUUAUGAUUUGC